rnacentral:rRNA from 1 species
AGAGUUUGAUCCUGGCUCAGGAUGAACGCUAGCGGCAGGCCUAACACAUGCAAGCCGAGGGGUAACGAUGGUUUCGGCCAGGCGACGACCGGCGCACGGGUGAGUAACGCGUAUGCAACCUGCCCUCUACAGGAGGAUAGCCCGGAGAAAUCCGGAUUAAUACUCCAUAGCAUCUAUUUUUCGCAUGGGAGAUAGAUUAAAAUUUCGAUGGUAGAGGAUGGGCAUGCGUGCCAUUAGCUAGUUGGUAAGGUAACGGCUUACCAAGGCAACGAUGGCUAGGGGUUCUAAAAGGAUGGUCCCCCACACUGGUACUGAGACACGGACCAGACUCCUACGGGAGGCAGCAGUGAGGAAUAUUGGUCAAUGGGUGAGAGCCUGAACCAGCCAUGCCGCGUGCAGGAUGACGGCCCUAGUGGUUGUAAACUGCUUUUAUACAGGAAUAAUUCCUUCCACGUGUGGAGGGUUGCAUGUACUGUAAGAAUAAGCAUCGGCUAACUCCGUGCCAGCAGCCGCGGUAAUACGGAGGAUGCAAGCGUUAUCCGGAUUUAUUAGGUUUAAAGGGUGCGUAGGCUGUUGUGUAAGUCAGUGGUGAAAUCUUCCAGCUUAACUGGGAAACUGCCAUUGAUACUGCAUAACUUGAGUUCAGUUGAGGUAGGCGGAAUGUGUAAUGUAGCGGUGAAAUGCAUAGAGAUUACACAGAACACCGAUUGCGAAGGCAGCUUACUAAGCUGAAACUGACGCUAAUGCACGAAAGCGUGGGGAGCGAACAGGAUUAGAUACCCUGGUAGUCCACGCUGUAAACGAUGAGCACUCGCUGUUGGCGAUAUACUGUCAGUGGCUGAGCGAAAGCAUUUAGUGCUCCACCUGGGGAGUACGUUGGCAACAAUGAAACUCAAAGGAAUUGACGGGGGCCCGCACAAGCGGUGGAACAUGUGGUUUAAUUCGAUGAUACGCGAGGAACCUUACCUGGGUUUAAAUUUAGAAAGAUUUUGUCCGAAAGGGCAUUUCCCUUCGGGGCUUUUUAGAAGGUGCUGCAUGGCUGUCGUCAGCUCGUGCCGUGAGGUGUCGGGUUAAGUCCCAUAACGAGCGCAACCCCUAUCGUUAGUUGCCAUCGGGUAAUGCCGGGAACUCUAACGAGACUGCCACCGUAAGGUGAGAGGAAGGUGGGGAUGACGUCAAGUCAGCACGGCCCUUACGUCCAGGGCUACACACGUGUUACAAUGGCCAGUACAAAGGGCAGCUACAUAGUGAUAUGAUGCUAAUCUCUAAACCUGGUCUCAGUUCGGAUCGAAGUCUGCAACUCGACUUCGUGAAGCUGGAAUCGCUAGUAAUCGCGUAUCAGCAAUGACGCGGUGAAUACGUUCCCGGGCCUUGUACACACCGCCCGUCAAGCCAUGGAAGCCGGGGGUACCUGAAGUCUGUAACCGCAAGGAGCGGCCUAGGGUAAAACUGGUGACUGGGGCUAAGU